AGCCUCGGCCUGGGAGCCUAGCCGAGCGCGAGUUCGCUGCAAGCGGGAUCCGUUCUGCGCCCGGCUGGCCGGCAGCCUCCGCGGUAUUCCCGGCGCGGGCGCCUCCAGGGGCUCCCCUGCGGCUCCUGGGGGCAGGGGUACCCUGCUGCCCUCCAAGACUGAGGCUGGAUGUGGCAUCUGAUUGGGAAGUGGGAGAGAUGAAGGGAAGAGAGAAAGCCCCAGUGACCCCACUCCAAUUCUCGCGCUGUUCCCAAGGGAGAAGAAAAAAACUAUAUGGGCAAAUGGCCUGGACUCAGAGAUACCUCUUUUUCUCUGUCACCUUCCAAAUGCUGGACUUAGAAUGGGGGCUGGAAAAUCAAGAGGAAGAAGUCCUCCUGAUUGAACUUGGAUCCAGUCGUCGAGUUCCGCGGCCCAGGGGUUGAACUGAGCUGGCUGGUGGGCGCUUGGAGAUCCUGACGCUGAGGCUAGGGCAAGAAGGGCAUCCUAUCUGUGCCUUCUCCCCAGGCCGGGCACUACGUUGGACCCUCCCCUGCUUCUGUUCUUGGAGCAUAUCUGGGUGUGUGUGCACAGGCGGGAGAGCAAGCAAGAGAAAGAGACCUGCAAGGGGACGUUUGGGGCCGCAUGUCCGUGCACAUCUUCUUCUCCUGUUCAUCACACCAUCUCGCCAGGGAAGUUGAGCACUGGGGAGGAGGGUGAUGAGAGGCGAGAGCCAGCCAGAGUGCAGGGAAUGUGGGGGGAAGGGUCAGGAAACGGGAAAGUGGAGACUGGUGUGGAUGCCGGGAUUCACUAGAAGCGGAGUCACUCAGGGGGAUUUCUGUCCCAAAAGGGACCCGUGCACCCCCACCUAAUGUGAUCACAGUCACACAGGCCCAAGAGUCGUCAGCAUCUUUCUAAAAGGGCUAGAAUCCUGCUUCAAAACAGAAUUGAGCCAUGUAGGGUAGCUGAAGAACAAUGCAUAGAAAGAAGUCUGUGGUCUGGCCAGGGGAGCCACAUGGAGGGGUCCUUUGCUUCAGGCCCCAAUCCCGCCCAGCUCUGGACUUCUGAGCAGGUUCUAGGAAACUGGCUGAGUAGGGGAGAAGCCCAAUUAACCUUGUUCCCAGGGCAGGAUAAGAAUCAGGCCUUGGGAUAAGUGCCAAAUUCCUUUUCUCUGCAAUUGCCCCGCCAGGCCUUGCCCUAUGCCAUGAGUGCAGAUCAGACUUUUGCAGGUUAGGAUCUGGGAUAUGUGCCUUGCUCCACACUCCCUGCAAUAAGUGAGGGGGAAGGAAGAUGGGCCAACUCCUUUCUUCCAUGAAUAAGAGUGAUUCAGAGGUUUAUAAGAUGCUGAAGACAGGGACACAUACGGGGGAUGAAGGCCCCAGUCUGUGAUCUCACUCUAGAGAGGCGAUGUCGGGAGAAUUCCAGAGAAGGCAGUGAAAUUUUGAAAGAAUGCUGGUAAAAAUGUUCUGAAAACUGCUGGAGAAUUCCGGCGCGGCAUUGGAAAGGGCCCCCUGCUCCAUGUUCCCCUGGGUCAGGCACAUAGACCUCCCUCUGCAGCCGAAAGGAAAGACACUGGACGAGGGUCAGCACCCCAGAGUGAACAGCUCCUGGCCUUGGCGCCUCUGCUGACUGCCUUCCUGACCACGGGGAGGGUAUCCUUUCUACUGGGGGACAGAAAGGGUUUGAGGACAGACAUUUAGAAGAUGCAAUGAGCUCAAGCUCAGAGUAUAAUUGGAUCCACCCUUUGACAUGUAGGACUUCCUUCUUCAACAACCUUUCCCUUUCCUGCUUGUCAGGGAGAUAUUAUUUUGGGUUCUUGGACCCAAUCUUUAAAAGCCUUUGCACGCUUGACCUUAAUCCUCAACCCCAACACUACAAGCUCCAUUUCAGCCCUAAAACGAGCCACAGUGUUUGGAGAAAUAAUUUAAAUGAGCAGCAUCAGAAACAGCCUCCUUGGGGGACUCCUAAAUGUAUUCAGGCUUUAGGAUUGGAGUCUUUGGGGCUCAGAACCUUCUUCAAAUAUUCUAGGACUACAGCGUGCACUGAGCGCUGAGCAGGGGGAGUAGAAGGGGCUCUUUCAGGGAAGUCAGUUAAGAGCUGCCCCUGCCUCUGAGGUUCAGAGAAAAAAGAAUUGUGAGGCCGCGUUAUCUGAGCAGGAGAUACUCAUCCAGUGCCUUUCCUCCCUUCUAAGCCCUUAGGGUUCCCUCUGUUCAGAACUGUACCAGGCAGGAAGAAAUCAGCCCAGAUUUGGAUGGGGUGGGCACCUGCUGCCCUGUCCCAGGGGAGAACAUGGUUAGGUUCCUCUCUACUGGGUGGGCACUCAGACUCAGCCACCUCAUAGACCUCUGGGGGUGUUCCUCCAACCUUGUCGACACCCCUAAAAAUGUCAACAUUCCUGAGACCAAAAUGGCUGAUUCCCCUGAGUCCACCCAAACACAACUUUAAGAUGAAAAAGGGGCCUCCCGCAUUAAUAUUUCAUCUUCAUGACCUUAUAAUUUUUU
rnacentral:lncRNA from 1 species